AUGCGAGCGUUAUCCGGAUUUAUUGGGUUUAAAGGGUGCGUAGGCGGUCCGUUAAGUCAGCGGUAAAAUUGCGGGGCUCAACCCCGUCGAGCCGUUGAAACUGGCAGACUUGAGUUGGCGAGAAGUACGCGGAAUGCGCGGUGUAGCGGUGAAAUGCAUAGAUAUCGCGCAGAACUCCGAUUGCGAAGGCAGCGUACCGGCGCCAGACUGACGCUGAGGCACGAAAGCGUGGGGAUCGAACA
rnacentral:rRNA from 1 species